rnacentral:rRNA from 1 species
UACGUAGGUGGUGAGCGUUGUCCGGAUUUACUGGGCGUAAAGCGCGCGCAGGCGGCUGUUCAAGUCCGAUGUGAAAUCUUCCGGCUUAACUGGAAAACGGCAUUGGAUACUGGACGGCUGGAAGGUGGGAGAGGGUAGCGGAAUUCCCGGUGUAGUGGUGAAAUGCGCAGAUAUCGGGAGGAACACCAAUGGCGAAGGCAGCUCGCUGGGACGUGACUGACGCUGAGACGCGAAAGCGUGGGGAGCAAACAGG